CGGGUGCGUAACGCGUAUGCAACCUACCCAUAACAGGGGGAUAACACUGAGAAAUUGGUACUAAUACCCCAUAACAUCAGGACCGGCAUCGGUUCUGGUUGAAAACUCCGGUGGUUAUGGAUGGGCAUGCGUUGUAUUAGCUGGUUGGUGAGGUAACGGCUCACCAAGGCAACGAUACAUAGGGGGACUGAGAGGUUAACCCCCCACAUUGGUACUGAGACACGGACCAAACUCC
rnacentral:rRNA from 1 species